ensembl:lncRNA
GGAGUGGGGUAAUAACAUUGGUGCUAGGGAGUGGGGUAAUAACAGGGCUUUGGUGCUUGGGAGUGGGGUAAUAACAGGGCAUUGGUGCUAGGGAGUGGGGUAAUAACAUUGGUGCUAGGGAGUGGGGUAAUAACAGGGCUUUGGUGCUUGGGAGUGGGGUAAUAGCAGGGCAUUGGUGCUAGGGAGGGGGGUAAUAACAUUGGUGCUAGGGAGUGGGGUAAUAACAUUGGUGCUAGGGAGUGGGGUAAUAACAUCGGUGCUAGGGAGUGGGGUAAUAAUAGGGCAUUGGUGCUAGGGAGUGGGGUAAUAACAUUUGUGCUAGGGAGUGGGGU